UCGUCGAAGGUGGAAUCAAUAACUGGGGUGAAGUCGUAACAAGGUAGCCGUAUCGGAAGGGGCGGCUGGAUCACCUCCUUUCUAAGGAGA
rnacentral:rRNA from 1 species